rnacentral:rRNA from 1 species
UACGAAGGGGGCUAGCGUUGUUCGGAAUCACUGGGCGUAAAGGGCGUGCAGGCGGUCAGGUAAGUGGGAUGUGAAAUGCCCCGGCUCACCCGGGGACCGGCAUCUCAUACUGCUUGGCUUGAGUACGGGAGAGGAUGUGGGAAUUCCUGGUGUAGCGGUGAAAUGCGUAGAUAUCAGGAGGAACACCGGUGGCGAAGGCGCACAUCUGGCCCGAUACUGACGCUGAGGCGCGAAAGCUAGGGGAGCAAACGGG